rnacentral:lncRNA from 1 species
GAAUGCGAAACAUAGGUUGAUAACGUUCGCUGUAUGAAUGUUGGUAAGAUAUUGUUCAGGUUUGGUGGUGUUUAGUAGGUCCAUUACCUGGCCAUCGGGGUUGCGCGAGCUUCUAACCCAACCCUGACGAGGCCAACGAGUGGAUCAUCUAUUCAGUAUACCAUCCUCGUUCGCUGCUGAACUUUGCUCGUGGGUCCGUUUUCGUGUCCUUGUCGUUUUACGUGGUCUGGAGAGAAUUUUAGCGAUGAAGAGAUAGGAUCCUUUCCUAGAUUUAUGAUCCUCAUGAUCGAACUAUACGUUUCAGGGCCUGUGUAAAUGAUUCUGCCAUGCGUCGUGAGUUCUGGUAGAUAUGCAUGUCUGGUAUUACCGGUGAGCUAACCCACGAACGCAGAAUCGGAGUUUCCCACAUGCAGCUAGCUUCUGCAAUGGGACAUGAUGAAUAUUGAAUGCAACAUGUAUUCGCGUCUUAUCACGAAUGCAUAAAAAGACGCACGCGAUACGUCACGUCUGUAAAAGGACGCACGCUACUAGCGAGCGUGCUCAUCGCUAUCAAAGGAUGCCGCACAUAGGGAGCCUUCGCUAUCCACAUCCGCUUCUUUGAAAGCGUGACGCUGGCAUUAAGCCUAUACGGUCCCUAUGUCCGAAACGGCAAGAGAUUGGGUAAUGGGCUUCCCGCGCAUCCAUACGUCAGCUUGCUGUGCCAGCAAUGGACUGGGACGCCAUCCAAUCAUGUCUUAUGAUUCCUCAAGGCAUUAGGUGGGUCAGAGGGUGAGCAUUGCGGCGUCACCUACGUUUUCCAACACUGGAUGUUUUAGCAGCAUUUCAUUCCGUUUAUUCAUUAAAGAAAUACUGAAUUGUUUUCAGUGGCAGGCUNNNNNNNNNNNNNNNNNNNNNNNNNNNNNNNNNNNNNNNNNNNNNNNNNNNNNNNNNNNNAGGAUGAUGAGCGUUGCAGCGUAAACUGCUGCAAACGAAGUCGUGAAAUGAGACAUGGCUAAUAAAGAUGAACUGCUAAUCGGACAGCACGUAAGCGACUAUUUCGAGAAAUUCAGAAUUCUGAUAGAGACUUUGUUCAUUUGCAAAGCCGGUAGAAGGCAUAGUAAUAUACUCGGCGUCUUCGUACGACUAAUACCGAAGCGCGCGAAAAUGACUAGGGAGAAUCUCCAACAAGUGCCUUUUACGACAGAGAUUACGGAUUUGCAGUUCGAAAAUGACUAGCGAGACUCUCCCUAGGGGUGCCUGUACGACACGGAUGAAAAUGACUAGCGAGUUUCUCCCUACGGGUGCUUGUACGACAAUGAAAAUGACUAGCGGACGUAAGAAAGGCGGGGGCAUUGAAGGGUGAUUGGCAGCCCUGCCUACUGCAAUGGCACUGCAUCCCGCGCGAGCCGCGAUGGGGUUUGCCCUAGCGGUCGCGCUGGAUGAAAUUUUUGAUAAUCUUGAAGAUAUGUUCAAUGCUCAGUGGCAGAGAUUGAGCGUGUGGGCCGACGCGGCGCGGCCCAUGCCGCCGGAAGUGCGGCCGACUUGCCGUUUCGCGGGUGGCUUCAGCCCUGAUACUACAAUGGGUUACAUAUUGGCUAUGUAAGCGGUCGUGAGGGGUCGAGCAACACGAGCGGCGUUGUCCUUGUUCAUUUUUAUAAUAUAAGGCAGCGGUGUGACUAGAAAUUCAGUCGGAGUGCAAAGCGCGCACAAUUUGUCAAGUAUGUGGUCUUUAUAAGCGAUUGGGCUUGGCCGUUUGUUAUAACUCGCGAAAUUGGCGACGCAUUUCAAGUAACGGUACGAGGGGUCAGCGUUUGACGAAAUUGACCCCCCCCCCCCUGCCCCGCCCGGCCGUCAGGGCGAUGGAUUCAGGGCGAUGACCUGGAUCCACUUCGCCUUGCACUUUUUGAUACAGGGCGAUGGAUGACGUACAACAAAGGUCACACUUGGCAAGAGAACAUAAGCCUGCCAAGUGAAGACAAUUUAGUAUUUCUUUAAUGAAUAAAAGGAAUGAAAUGCUGCUAAAACAUCCAGUGUUGGAAAACGUAGGUGGCGCCGCAACGCUCACCCUCUGAUCCGCACAAAGCCUUGAGGAAUCAUAAGACAUGAUUGGAUGGCGUCCCAGUAGCUUAAGUACUCAGUCCAUUGCUGGCACAGCAAGCUGACGUAUGGAUGCGCGGGAAGCCCAUGACCCAAUCUCUUGCCGUUUCGGACAUAGGGACCAUAUAGGCUUAAAAUCAAUGAAGAAUGUUGGAACAAGCCGUUGAUUUGCUUGUUGUAAGCAAGGGGUGCGGCUUUACACAAAGAGGCUUUACAAGAAUGGAGUGGGAGUCAUGCACAUGGGCGCCCUUGCAUGGCAUAAGGAAUGCGAAACAUAGGUUGAUAACGUUCGCUGUAUGAAUGUUGGUAAGAUAUUGUUCAGGUUUGGUGGUGUUUAGUAGGUCCAUUACCUGGCCAUCGGGGUUGCGCGAGCUUCUAACCCAACCCUGACGAGGCCAACGAGUGGAUCAUCUAUUCAGUAUACCAUCCUCGUUCGCUGCUGAACUUUGCUCGUGGGUCCGUUUUCGUGUCCUUGUCGUUUUACGUGGUCUGGAGAGAAUUUUAGCGAUGAAGAGAUAGGAUCCUUUCCUAGAUUUAUGAUCCUCAUGAUCGAACUAUACGUUUCAG